rnacentral:rRNA from 1 species
AGUUUUUCCUGGUGGAGAACUUCAAGCAAGCGGGGCUUGCUUGAUGGAGGGGAGCGGCAGACGGGUGAGUAACGCGUGGGAAUCUACCCAUCUCUGCGGAAUAGCUCCGGGAAACUGGAAUUAAUACCGCAUACGUCCUUCGGGAGAAAGAUUUUAUCGGAGAUGGAUGAGCUCGCGUUAGAUUAGCUAGUUGGUGGGGUAAAGGCCUACCAAGGCGACGAUCCAUAGCUGGUCUGAGAGGAUGAUCAGCCACACUGGGACUGAGACACGGCCCAGACUCCUACGGGAGGCAGCAGUGGGGAAUAUUGGACAAUGGGCGCAAGCCUGAUCCAGCCAUGCCGCGUGAGUGAUGAAGGCCCUAGGGUUGUAAAGCUCUUUCACCGGUGAAGAUAAUGACGGUAACCGGAGAAGAAGCCCCGGCUAACUUCGUGCCAGCCGCCGCCGUAACAC